rnacentral:lncRNA from 1 species
AUCAUGCGGUCAAUCACGUACUUUCUGUGUUUUAUCGAGUCAAAUGUGUCGCAAAAGAUGUGUUAGGAAACCAGCAGAGUUUCGUUUUAAUUAGUAUUCUUAAUAGAAAAUUCCUUGUUCGUGGAUUGCAGAUGACAAGAAGAGGAAGGAGUGAAGGAGGACAGGAUUGGAUGCUGGGUACAGAAAGAGUCUCAAGAAGAAGAGGACCGGGAUAUGAAUCCGAGGGAAUUGUGAGAGACAAGGUUUCACUUCUUAGAUUUAGGUUAGGUCA